GGUUGGAGAGAUGGCUCAGUGGUUAAGAGCACUGACUGCUCUUCCAGAGGUCCUGAGUUCAAAUCCCAGCAACCA
rnacentral:tRNA from 1 species